GGGUUCCAGCAUCCAGUGAGAAAAACAGAAAGUUCCUGAAUGGAGAGAUACAAAACGCCCCAUUCAUCCCAGCUGGGUGAAAGCUGACUGGAAAUACAACAGGACUCAGCAAGCAGGACUCUGAAUUCAACAUUUCACCAACUCAGGCCCACAAGAAAGGGCGUUUUCCAGUAGCUUUCCUUGAUCCUGGAGGGAUUUGGGCAUCCUUGACAAGGCACUGAAUUAAUCCUUCCAUCAAAUGAUCCCAAAUGUGGCCUUCACUCGGUGUCAGGUCGGAAUUCCAGAUGAAAUUGCUCUCUCAGGAAGCAAAAAGGGUGGAAAAUACACAGGGA